rnacentral:rRNA from 1 species
UACGAAGGGGGCGAGCGUUGUUCGGAUUUACUGGGCGUAAAGGGCGCGCAGGCGGCGCAUUUUGUCAGGCGUGAAAGCCCCGGGCUUAACCUGGGAACUGCGUUUGAUACGGAUGGGCUAGAGUUCGGGAGAGGAGAGUGGAAUUCCCAGUGUAGAGGUGAAAUUCGUAGAUAUUGGGAAGAACACCAGUGGCGAAGGCGGCUAACUGGUCCAGUACUGACGCUGAGGUGCGAAAGCGUGGGGAGCAAACAGG